UACGUAGGGGGCAAGCGUUGUCCGGAUUCAUUGGGCGUAAAGAGCGUGUAGGCGGCCAGGUAGGUCGGUUGUGAAAACUGGAGGCUCAACCUUCAGAGGUCGACCGAAACCAUCUGGCUAGAGUCCGGGAGAGGAGAGUGGAAUUCCUGGUGUAGCGGUGAAAUGCGCAGAUAUCAGGAAGAACACCCGUGGCGAAGGCGGCUUGCUGGGCCUUACCUGACGCUGAGGAGCGAAAGCCAGGGGAGCAAACGGG
rnacentral:rRNA from 1 species